UACAGAGGGUGCAAGCGUUAAUCGGAAUUACUGGGCGUAAAGCGUGCGUAGACGGUUGCGUAAGUCAGAUGUGAAAGCCCCGGGCUCAACCUGGGAAUUGCAUUUGAGACUGCGUAGCUAGGGUGCGGAAGAGGGAAGCGGAAUUUCCGGUGUAGCGGUGAAAUGCGUAGAUAUCGGAAGGAACACCAGUGGUGAAAGCGGCUUCCUGGUCCAGCACCGACGUUCAGGCACGAAAGCGUGGGGAGCAAACAGG
rnacentral:rRNA from 1 species